rnacentral:rRNA from 1 species
UUGGCCCUACGGGAGGCAGCAGUGGGGAAUAUUGGGCAAUGGGCGCAAGCCUGACCCAGCAACGCCGCGUGAAGGAUGAAGGUUUUCGGAUUGUAAACUUCUGUCGCGAGGGACGAAGAAUGACGGUACCUCGUAAGACAGCCCCGGCUAACUACGUGCCAGCAGCCGCGGUAAUACGUAGGGGGCAAGCGUUGUCCGGGAUGACUGGGCGUAACGGGAGUGUGGGCGGCCUUGUA